rnacentral:rRNA from 1 species
UUAAAUUGAAGAGUUUGAUCAUGGCUCAGAUUGAACGCUGGCGGCAGGCCUAACACAUGCAAGUCGAACGGUAACAGAAAGAAGCUUGCUUCUUUGCUGACGAGUGGCGGACGGGU